rnacentral:lncRNA from 1 species
GCAAGUAGUUUAUUUCAACACUCAUCCUUCCAAGGUAUCAACUGAAACUUUUGUUACCCAGAAUUGAAAUAAUCACCAUAUUUGUAAAUUGAAAUAUAUUUCUAAAAAAGGAGCACAUUUAUGAUCUAAAUAUUUUUAUAACAAUUUUCAAUUCAAAUUCAGGAAAAUUCUUUUAAAAUUAUUUUUAAGUUCGAAAGUGGCUUAAACGAUCUUAAAAUGAAAAUAGCAAGUAGUUUAUUCCAACACUGAUCCUUCCAAGGUAACAAUCGACACAUUUGUUAUCCAGCGUAAACUUUGACGUUUAGCCCCACAACAGUUGGCAAUAAUCCUAAAAUUUAUCUGAUGAAGCAUGUGCUGCUUUACUUUUUGCCGUCAACAUCGGUUGACGCUUUUAAUCGCAAUGUCGAAUGCUUUACAACCUGUUGUUCACGGUCACUACCUUCAUACUCCAAGAUAAAUACAAUUAAUUUGUCAUAAUUGGACCCCUUGCCAAGGUUUGCGUAAAUGGCGACUAAAGAUGGGAAAGUAACGACUUAACAGAUUUGGCACCGUAGUCCAGAGAUAAGGCAAGAAUUUGAGCUUAAAAGCCGGUAUUGCCGCCAACGCGUAACGAAUGGCGCGACCUUCAAUUAAAUGGCAAUUUAAAUAUAAACAAUGGAUAUCAAAUGUAUUCUAAGAAAUGGUACUUGAGAAAAAAACUGGCAAAUAAGAAUAAAGUUGAAAAUGUAUACUUUUUUGUGCAGACGCAACAAACAUGGAAGGAAGCAUGUAGGAAGCAUCAAGCAUGGAAUAUUGUGAACGAAAAUUGUACGUCAGAAAUAUUCUAAGACUACCGAAAUGUACUAAAGGGACGUAGUUUAAAGGAAUCAAUCUAUUUGGCACACGUCAAAAACAUUUUCCCUGGAUUCAGCUUCCAACAACUCAACAACCAAAUCAUCUGGUUUCCUGCCAUCAGAACUACGCCUUUCCUUGUGCAAAGCGCCACGUAGUCUACUUUCAAUUUCUUCAAGGUGUCCAACUCUUUGUUUGAGAUUUCUUUCAGAUAUUUCAAGUUCUUCUAUUUUGUUUUUGUACCCUUGUUCCACAGAUGCAACAAUUCUGUCAGCAUGUUCUAAUGUUUCUCUAUAUGCUGCUUCCUUCUGUUCCAUUUCAUCUAGUUUUUCUCUCAACUCUACUUCGCGAAUGCGGAGUUCCUUCAAUUGGUUCAAAAGUUUUUCUCGUCGGAAAUUGCUUAUGCCGUCAUUAUUGAUAUCUGAACCGAAACCAGAAUCGAUAUCACCAGUUAAUCGAUGAAGUUCUUUGUGCAAGUGUGUCACAUUGUUUUCAAGUUCGGCAAUUCUAGCUUUAUAACCUUCUUCCUUACCUCUGUAAUGUAAAAGGAUAAGUUUUUAGUCAUAAAUAUCAUCAAUAAAUUUAAUAAAAUCAUUUUAUCAAUAAAUUUGAAAUGUUUGAAAUAUUUCAAUUAGUUAAACUGAAACAAAAAUAAUAUCUUAGAUUGUAAAAGGAUAUAAACUACUUAAUUUCACUGUAAAGUAAUUCCAGUCUUUCACGCCAAUAAUUCUAGUUUUUUACGCAGCUAAAAAGGAACAAAAUGUCACUAAGGCCAUUUAAUAAAAUAUUUUGAAAUAGUUUUUGCUUUAUUGAACAAUUAAAUUUUAGAUUUCAAUUAGCUAAACUGAAACAAAAAUAAUAUCUUAGAUUGUAAACGGAUAUAAACUACUUCAUUUCACUGUAAAGUAAUUCUAGUUUUUCACGCCAGUAAUUCUAGUUUUUUACGCAGCUAAAAAGGAACAAAAUGUCACUAAGGCCAUUUAAUAAAAUAUUUUGAAAUAGUU